rnacentral:lncRNA from 1 species
AAGAAACUUGCCAGGUCAGACGGCUAGUAGGAGGCAGAGCUGGAACUUGAAUCUGUGCUCUUUCUAAGAGGAGGAAUUACUGGAGGAAAAUGACCGAGGUUUCCAUGGUAAAUUGAAUUGUGUUGGGAACUAUACAUGGUAUUGGAGACUGCUCUGGUGGCACCAUGAAUGCCCUGACUUGGAUACUCUUGUUUUCCAGAUUCUACCCAUAUCUCUGCACAAAUGGCCUCUUCCUAGAUGGUCUGGCCAGCUGACCCUGAUUACUGCGAUCCAGAGAAUACAGAAUCAGGACCACGAAUCUGACUCUAUGGUGG